rnacentral:rRNA from 1 species
GACGAACGCUGGCGGCGUGCCUAAUACAUGCAAGUAGAACGCUGAAGCGAGGAGCUUGCUCUUCUUGGAUGAGUUGCGAACGGGUGAGUAACGCGUAGGUAACCUGCCUUGUAGCGGGGGAUAACUAUUGGAAACGAUAGCUAAUACCGCAUAACAAUGGAUGACACAUGUCAUUUAUUUGAAAGGGGCAAUUGCUCCACUACAAGAUGGACCUGCGUUGUAUUAGCUAGUAGGUGAGGUAAUGGCUCACCUAGGCGACGAUACAUAGCCGACCUGAGAGGGUGAUCGGCCACACUGGGACUGAGACACGGCCCAGACUCCUACGGGAGGCAGCAGUAGGGAAUCUUCGGCAAUGGGGGCAACCCUGACCGAGCAACGCCGCGUGAGUGCAGAAGGUUUUCGGAUCGUAAAGCUCUGUUGUAAGUCAAGAACGGGUGUGAGAGUGGAAAGUUCACACUGUGACGGUAGCUUACCAGAAAGGGACGGCUAACUACGUG